rnacentral:tRNA from 1 species
GCCUCCUUAGCUCAGCGGCGGAGCGCGUGAUUGGUAAUCACGAGGUCCCGAGUUCAAUUCUCGGAGGAGGCU